AUUAUUAAUUUAUAAGAAAAACUAAUUAUGUUUUUUCUAUUUUAAGUCAAACUUUUUCCUCUAAAGUUCCUCUAAAUAUAUCUACGAUUGGAAUUUUGGCUCCAUAACCCCAAAGUGAAGUGCCGCCCAAAUAUCCAUUGGAAUUUGCCCUAAUUUACACACUUCAGAGAAUAGGCGAAUCGAUCUGCACACCAUGAAGCCGCCGGCUAUUCGAUCCGCAGACCGUGAAUCAGCGUCGCUUUUCUUCUGGUUCAGGGGGACAAAUUUAAUUUUCUGAAGCAUAAAAGAGAAAGAAGGUGUUGGCUUCAAGAACCAUGUCAUACAGGAACAAAUGAAGGGCUAUCUUCAAAAGAUGGAAGUGCUUUCGUGGAUUAAUUUGUGGUUGUGACAAACAAAGAGCAUACGGACACCGUUGACUUUAUGGUAGAGGCGUUAUUAACAAAUUGAUAAAAAAGUGGAUGGUUGUGAUAUACCUACCAUACAUGAUUCCAAGGGACUUAUGGAAUCAUUCAAAGCUAGUGUCGAAGUUAAAACAAUUAUUUGCAUGAAAUGCGAAAGAUAUUAAAGAGGAUCGUGAAAGGAAAAAACGCCGAGCAUGAAAU
rnacentral:lncRNA from 1 species